ensembl:lncRNA
CUCUCUCUCCCUCAGGCUGGAAUUGUAUGAUUGUGAAGACAUCGCGAACCUUAAAGGUUGAGAAGUGAACGGAUUAUACGGCGAACUGAGACGACGUGAAAAAGGGGAUUGGAAGCGGCAUUGAUGUGAGUACUAAGAGCCAGUCGAAAGUGCCCUGUAUAUUGACCUGGCGUUGUGUAGAUCUCUCCAGGAGGAGGAGGGCGGCCCUACCCCUAAUAUAGCGUGGUGGGAGAGCCGAAGGAAUACUUAUUGAAGUAGUCACAACGACGACAUCACUAGCUAGGCCGCAUAUUCCAUCGCCAGAUCCGAACCAAGCGAAGUGAAGGAAGACGGGUGUCCUUUUCGUACACUGAGUGUGGUGGGUGAGUCUUCGUGCUGUGAAAACCUAUAAUUUUGACGUGGUGUUGUAUAUUGCUGUGGGCUGCUGUGUAUUGCCGUGUGUCCUGUCAGAUAAACCCCCGCCUUCACGCACUUCGUCGCGGGAGGACAAGGAGACUGCUGGUCCUAGCCUAGUUCAGUACAGUAUAUGUUGUGAGCGUGCUUCAGAUCUCCGGAGAUAGCACAGUACGCUGUGUCCAGCCCAGAGGUGAAAGCCAUCCAAAGCAGAGUAACUGUGCUUUGCGUCCAAGUUGAUACCUGUGGAGAGGAAAGGAAAGAGAGAUUGAUACCUGUGGAGAGAAAAGGAGAGAGAGUGGGUAACACGAGGAGAGACCGAGGAAACCUGUACUUACGCCGCUGCCUGUGGAGAAAGAGAAAGCGACCGUUGCCUGUGGAGGAAGAGAAAGAGAGUGAGCACCCCGAGAACGAACUGUGUGAACCAGUACUUACCGUGAGCUGUAUUCAGCGAAGAGGAGGAAGAAGGAGGGCGCUACGGAUACCUAAGACUCAGGCCGGGGCCCGAGUCCCACGCCCCGGAUCCCCGUGGCCCCCUUGCUCCCUGACCUCUUCCCGGCCAUAGCCCAUCUGGAGGGCCGAGUCAGAGUUUAGUUUUAAUUGCCCUUUCCCUAUUCCCCAAGCUAUUUUUAAAUAUUUAAAUAAAGAUUGUUUUAUCACUUACUUGUUCUCGUGU